UACGUAGGGCGCAAGCGUUGUCCGGAAUUAUUGGGCGUAAAGAGCUCGUAGGCGGCUUGUCACGUCGGUUGUGAAAGUCCGGGGCUCAACUCCGGAUCUGCGGUGGGUACGGGCAGACUAGAGUGAUGUAGGGGAGACUGGAAUUCCUGGUGUAGCGGUGAAAUGCGCAGAUAUCAGGAGGAACACCGAUGGCGAAGGCAGGUCUCUGGGCAUUAACUGACGCUGAGGAGCGAAAGCAUGGGGAGCGAACAGG
rnacentral:rRNA from 1 species